rfam:Sphaeroforma arctica JP610 cont1.1656, whole genome shotgun sequence.
ACUUGAUUGAGGUAGUGGUUAUCCUAUAUGAUUUUGAUUCAUAUUACCCCAGUUCGAAUCUGGGAUCGAGCU